CACACCGCCCGUCACACCAUGGGAGUUGGUUCUACCCGAAGACGGUGCGUCAACCUCGCAAGAGGAGACAGCCGGCCACGGUAGGGUCAGCGACUGGGGCGAAGUCGUAACAAGGUACCC
rnacentral:rRNA from 1 species